rnacentral:rRNA from 1 species
UACGCACGCUGGCGGCGUGCUUAACACAUGCAAGUCGAACGGAAAGGCCCUGCUUUUGUGGGGUGCUCGAGUGGCGAACGGGUGAGUAACACGUGAGUAACCUGCCCUUGACUUUGGGAUAACUUCAGGAAACUGGGGCUAAUACCGGAUAGGAGCUCCUGCUGCAUGGUGGGGGUUGGAAAGUUUCGGCGGUUGGGGAUAGACUCGCGGCUUAUCAGCUUGUUGGUGGGGUAGUGGCUUACCAAGGCUUUGACGGGUAGCCGGCCUGAGAGGGUGACCGGCCACAUUGGGACUGAGAUACGGCCCAGACUCCUACGGGAGGCAGCAGUGGGGAAUAUUGCACAAUGGGCGGAAGCCUGAUGCAGCAACGCCGCGUGCGGGAUGACGGCCUUCGGUUUGUAAACCGCUUUCGCCUGUGACGAAGCGUGAGUGACGGUAAUGGGUAAAGAAGCACCGGCUAACUACGUG